GACGAACGCUGGCGGCGUGCCUAAUACAUGCAAGUUGAGCGCUGAAGGUUGGUACUUGUACCAACUGGAUGAGCAGCGAACGGGUGAGUAACGCGUGGGGAAUCUGCCUCUGAGCGGGGGACAACAUUUGGAAACGAAUGCUAAUACCGCAUAAAAACUUUAAACACAAGUUUUAAGUUUGAAAGAUGCAAUUGCAUCACUCAAAGAUGAUCCCGCGUUGUAUUAGCUAGUUGGUGAGGUAAAGGCUCACCAAGGCGAUGAUACAUAGCCGACCUGAGAGGGUGAUCGGCCACAUUGGGACUGAGACACGGCACAAACUCCUACGGGAGGCAGCAGUAGGGAAUCUUCGGCAAUGGACGAAAGUCUGACCGAGCAACGCCGCGUGAGUGAAGAAGGUUUUCGGAUCGUAAAACUCUGUUGGUAGAGAAGAACGUUGGUGAGAGUGGAAAGCUCAUCAAGUGACGGUAACUACCCAGAAAGGGACGGCUAACUACGUG
rnacentral:rRNA from 1 species